ensembl:lncRNA
GUGUCACUACAGAUCCUGGAUCUGAUUCCAGGCUGUAUGACAGCGGUCUAAGGCACUGCAACUCAGUGCUAGAGGUGUCACUACAGAUCCUGGAUCUGAUUCCAGGCUGUAUGACAGCGGUCUAAGGCACUGCAACUCAGUGCUAGAGGUGUCACUACAGAUCCUGGAUCUGAUUCCAGUCUGUAUCACAGCCGGCCGUGAUUGGGAGUCCCCAUUGGGCGCCGCGUCGUCCGGGUUAGUGUUUGGCCCGGGGGUAGGCCGUCAUCGUAAAUAAGAAUUUGUUCUUAACUGACUUGCGUAGUUAAAAGUUAAAUAAAUAAAAUAGAAAAUACAAAGGAUUGGAAAGGGAGGGAGUAAAUACUCCUAGACUCAUGUUACUGAUUUAGGACUGUCUAUCCGGAAAAUAUUGUAUUUGCUUGAGUAAUCUCCUACCUUGAGUGAUAUUCUUACUGACCCCCACUAAUGCAUGACCUAGACUAAAACAAGCUCGGACUAAACUAAGCCAACACUGAAAUAAAAUCAACAGAAAUAUGACGUUACUUUUACAAAGGUG